CCUGGUUCAGGACGAACGCUGGGCGGCGUGCUUAACCCAUGCAAUUCGAGGCGGAGACUUUACUGUAAUUUAUAUGGGUAAUUUUUUAGCGCCGGACGGGUGAGUAACACGUGGGUAACCUGCCUCGAAGUGAGGAAUAGCCUUCCGAAAGGGGAGAUUAAUACCUCAUAAUAUUAAUUUUUCGCAUGAAAGAUUAAUUAAAGGAUUUAUUCGCUUCGAGAUGGACCCGCGGCGCAUUAGUUAGUUGGUGAGGUAAUGGCUCACCAAGACAAUGAUGCGUAGCCGACCUGAGAGGGUGAUCGGCCACAUUGGAACUGAGAUACGGUCCAAACUCCUACGGGAGGCAGCAGUGGGGAAUAUUGCACAAUGGGCGAAAGCCUGAUGCAGCAACGCCGCGUGAGUGAUGAAGGCUUUCGAGUCGUAAAGCUCUUUGAUCAGGGACGAUAAUGACGGUACCUGAAGAACAAGCCACGGCUAACUACGUGCCAGCAGCCGCGGUAAUACGUAGGUGGCGAGCGUUGUCCGGAAUUAUUGGGCGUAAAGGAUGCGUAGGUGGAUGUUUAAGUGGGAUGUGAAAUCCCUGGGCUCAACCCAGGAAUUGCAUUCCAAACUGGAUAUCUUGAGUAUAGUAGAGGAAAGCAGAAUUCCUAGUGUAGAGGUGAAAUUCGUAGAUAUUAGGAGGAAUACCAGUGGCGAAGGCGGCUUUCUGGACUAUAACUGACACUGAGGCAUGAAAGCGUGGGUAGCAAACAGGAUUAGAUACCCUGGUAGUCCACGCCGUAAACGAUGGGUACUAGGUGUAGGAGGUAUCGACCCCUUCUGUGCCGUCGUAACACAAUAAU
rnacentral:rRNA from 1 species